UACGGAGGAUGCAAGCGUUAUCCGGAAUUAUUGGGCGUAAAGCGUCCGUAGGUGGCUAAUCAAGUCUGCUGUCAAGGCGUGGAGCUUAACUCCAUAACGGCGGUGGAAACUGAUGAGCUAGAGUGCGAUAGGGGUAGCAGGAAUUCCCAGUGUAGCGGUGAAAUGCGUAGAGAUUGGGAAGAACACCAGCGGCGAAAGCGUGCUACUGGGUCUGCACUGACACUGAGGGACGAAAGCUAGGGGAGCGAAAGGG
rnacentral:rRNA from 1 species